rnacentral:rRNA from 1 species
ACUUAAAUUGAAGAGUUUGAUCAUGGCUCAGAUUGAACGCUGGCGGCAGGCCUAACACAUGCAAGUCGAGCGGUAGCACAGAGAGCUUGCUCUCGGGUGACGAGCGGCGG